GACGAACGCUGGCGGCGUGCUUAACACAUGCAAGUCGAACGGAAAGGCCCUGCUUUUGUGUGGUGCUCGAGUGGCGAACGGGUGAGUAACACGUGAGUAACCUGCCCUUGACUUUGGGAUAACUUCAGGAAACUGGGGCUAAUACCGGAUAGGAGCUCCUGCUGCAUGGUGGGGGUUGGAAAGUUUCGGCGGUUGGGGAUGGACUCGGGGCUUAUCAGCUUGUUGGUGGGGUAGUGGCUUACCAAGGUUUUGACGGGUAGCCGGCCUGGGAGGGUGACCGGCCACAUUGGGACUGAGAUACGGCCCAGACUCCUACGGGAGGCAGCAGUGGGGAAUAUUGCACAAUGGGCGGAAGCCUGAGGCAGCAACGCCGCGUGCGGGAUGACGGCCUUCGGGUUGUAAACCGCUUUCGCCUGUGACGAAGCGUGAGUGACGGUAAUGGGUAAAGAAGCACCGGCUAACUACGUG
rnacentral:rRNA from 1 species